rnacentral:rRNA from 1 species
UACGAAGGGGACUAGCGUUGUUCGGAAUCACUGGGCGUAAAGCGCACGUAGGCGGAUGUGUCAGUCAGGGGUGAAAUCCCGGGGCUCAACCUCGGAACUGCCUUUGAUACAGCACGUCUCGAGUCCGGAAGAGGUGGGUGGAAUUCCUAGUGUAGAGGUGAAAUUCGUAGAUAUUAGGAAGAACACCGGUGGCGAAGGCGGCCCACUGGUCCGGUACUGACGCUGAGGUGCGAAAGCGUGGGGAGC